UCAUAAAUAAAUUCAAAGAGGCUCACUCUAUUCAAAUUGAUGUUGACUACACCGGUGGUUUGCUUCCAAUUUCAAAGACAUCCUCAAUCAUUGAAGGGGAGAAAGUAGAAGGUGCUAAGAAUUUAUUGUUUGAAUUCUCCAAUGAAGUUGCGGCCAAUGAUGAAUCCGAAUUAUUGAAAAAUGUUA